rnacentral:rRNA from 1 species
GACGAACGCUGGCGGCGUGCCUAACACAUGCAAGUCGAACGGAGUUAUUGAGAAGCUUGCUUCGAUUUAACUUAGUGGCGGACGGGUGAGUAACGCGUGAGCAAUCUGGUUCAAAGAGGGGAAUAACGCAGGGAAACUUGUGCUAAUACCGCAUAAUGUACAGAGACCGCAUGGCCUUUGUACCAAAGGAGCAAUCCGCUUUGAAAUGAGCUCGCGUCCGAUUAGAUAGUUGGUGAGGUAACGGCUCACCAAGUCGACGAUCAGUAGCCGGACUGAGAGGUUGAUCGGCCACAUUGGGACUGAGACACGGCCCAGACUCCUACGGGAGGCAGCAGUUGGGAAUAUUGCACAAUGGGGGAAACCCUGAUGCAGCGACGCCGCGUGAGGGAAGAAGGUUUUCGGAUUGUAAACCUCUGCCUUAGGGAAGAUAAUGACGGUACCUAAGGAGGAAGCCAGGCUAACUACGUG